GGGAACUGCAGUCCGGCGGCGGGACCGUGAGGCGAGGGAGGGCGCGGCUCCGGCCUCGGAGUGGGGGCACAGAUAAAGGCCACCACACGUCAAAGGGAGACGCUGACAUGAAGGAGUCCUCCACCAGUUUAUUUCUCUUUGACAACCGUACAGGUGGGAACGAGCCCUGCCACCUCCCAGCACUCAGACUGGACAUCUUUGGUACAGAGACACAGGACAACUUCAUGGGAAAGGUAGGACGGGUUUCUGUGAGGCUCGCUAAAAAGUCAUUGAGGCUGUUGUGAGAGGAAGGUCUGAGCUGGGAGCUACCCGUGCAGCGAGCAGUGGAGAUGCUUGCUCUGAAGGCCUGCUCCAGGGCACGCGUUUAUUCUCCUCAAAUCAACAGACAAAUUAAAAGAGAAAGAAAAAGAGGGGAGAGUUCUAAGUCCCACAAGGAUUCCCGAGAGGAUAAAAAGCAUGCAGCAUGGCUGGCAACCUGGGUUUUAACCAGUGUUUUAUGGACAAAGUGCAAGUGCAGCACAUUUCACUGUAUUCCUUGUAUAAAGUAUUAAUGAAGAUACUGAAGCUGAUAGCUGAGCAGUUGUUCGGUCUGAAAAUGCUUUCCCUUUUUAUUCCCACGUGUGGUUUUGAAAUCUUUACUACUGUUCAGCAGGCAGAUAGCAUUACCCAAAGUAUUGCCCUUGCCUGAUAACAAUGUUGGGAACUUGAUUUAGACUCUCCCACUCUUUAUCUAAUGGCAAAAGAUUGGAUGCUCCCCAGGGCAAGCUUGCAGUCAUUGUAAUAAAUCCACAAACUCUGACGUGGAGCUCCGGGAUCUCCAGAAAGAAGGUCAAUCAAAAGUAGUACGCUGUAAGAAAACCUACUCAGGAAGAAAGGUUUCGUAUAGACGGGGCUGGGUGUUUCUUUGACAUAUUACGGCACUAAUUACUGUAUAGGAAAAGUAUAUAAAGGAGCAUGUCAUUCUAACACCUUAUUUUCUUGUAGUUAAUAGGGAUCAUUGAAGGGAUAAUUGGGGUGUCCGGCAUCUCUUGGUACUGGUUUUCCAUUCACCUGUGAAGUAAGCAGACAGACACACGUCAGAAAGAAAAAGAUCCGUUCUUUCUCUCUUUCAAAUUCUAAUGGUUUCAACUGGUAAAUCUUUCUAUGUCAAAUAUCUGGGAGACCUGAGCUUAAUCAAGAGUUGUUCCCUCUACUCCUAAGUCCUCCUAGCACCUGUAGAAAGAAAUAUUUCUUGUAGCCUAAAGCAAGAGUCUUUCUUCCAGCUUCUUGGGAUUGAAGAACCAAAUUAAGCACAGUGAAGCAUUUUGCCUUGUAGCCAUCCCUGAAUAAAUGCUGCAGAUAAAUGUGCAUGCUUCACAGCACUCUGCAGAAGUCUGCGCUUUUGCCCUUCUUUUCAUGACAGAGUUGAUGGGCUGCCAAUUUAACACAUGGAUCACACACUGAGACACCAGCGUCACUGAACUCCUUCCUAGUGCUUUUUAAUAACACACCUACUAUAAGAACAUUUUUGUGACUAACCAGUUUUUCCAGCUGUAAGAAGGGAAUACUACAACAAACUAACAUUUGUUGAUAAUGAAACAAAGGCUUUGGGUGGCCCAAUGCAGACACAGUCACUCAGAAGUCUCAGUUCCUAUGUCCCAAAGCUGAAUGCUCAUACACGCAAACUGCAUUCCUAGGUGUAUUAAGCCCACUGCAAAAUCCCCAUUUACUCAGAGCUGGGGUAAAACCUUGCUCCUCACCUGUGAUGUUUGAGGAAAUUUAUAUGCAGCAUCAACAAGGAGAUGGAUCUCCACAGGUGAGUAGCAUCAUUCAGCUAAAACUUAUACUAAGCACAUAAUGGCUGAGUAAAAGUCAUGUUAGAGACACGAUUGAUUUUAUACACGUGAUUUUUAUACUACUGUGAUGCUAGAUAUCACUCACAAUGUUAUGGGGGCAGAGGCAAUCACAGCUACUUUCAAAUCAAGUAUCCUCUAGCAAGUCCCUCUAUUCGCUUUCAGAUUAAAUCCCACAUUUCAAAGCGACUGGGAUCCCUGCUUUACAGGAUCCAGGGUGGUGUAAAAACAGUCACUUGGGGGCACUCGAGAGCACAAAACUGGGAUGUCAGGUUUAACAUUCGGCUGGUGCUCGGUUUAAAAUAACAUUAAGGUGAAAUGAAACUGCCAGCUGACGGCAAUACUUAAAACUAUGGACAAAACUAUCUUCGCGUUUUCUCAUAUGCUUCUGAGAGCCAACAACUGCAAGUUCCUAGAAUUCACGUUCCUUUUCUCUCCCACCUCCUCCUGCCCCGUUUCUUUCCCCUGCGUAUUUUCCCUACUUGGAUCAGCCCUUCAGGUAUCUAUAUUUGUUAGCAGCAUGUCAAAACAGCAGCUGCCAGAAGCAACGUUGUAUACAGCUGUUUCUAGACUACCCCAGGAAUCUGAAGGACAAAGGGGAGUAAAUCAGCAGCAAAGACACUGUGGAUCAACAGCAGCUAACUAUCAGAAAAGGACAGACUGUGCGUACGCCACCACCUCUCCUCCUGUCCUGGCUCGCUAGUCAUUCCGUUUUGCUUAUGUGUAUUUCUUAGCCCGUGUUUCCAAAAGUUUGGACGUCAGGCUGAUACCAGGUACGGCUAAACAAUUUCCAGCCUCUAUCCAGGUAAUGAUCUGCUAAAAUGUCAAACGUCUUAAACUGCCUACGUGCAAUAUAAUAGAUUCACAUCAGACUUAGAGCAAAACAACAAGGUGAAGAGGAGUGGCACAACUAUGAAACCCUGUGGUUAUGUACCAGCAAGGUAAAGCAAGGGAAAACCGUCUCAUCAGUUAUGACACUGCCACAUCACACUUUCAAAUCCAGACACUAUAAAUGAGAUUCAUAAAGGAGACAGGCAUGAAAGGUCAGACAGGCAUUUUAAUUCGCAGAUGAUGAAAAUUCUUUCUGAUAUGCCUGGAAGGGAUGGGCUGGAGACAAAAGGUUCCGCUCGAGAUCUUACAGCCAGCACAACGUUUUACUUCUCCUCAUCUCACUUCUUCCUGUCUCAUUAUCUGUCAGCAUGGCGAUAUCUUUGAAGCCCGGCUGCAUCAUACUCACACCUGUAUCCAGCUGGAUGGGCCAGCACUUUGAACUGUAUUUCAUCUCCUCUCUGUGUGUCAUUGAUCUGAUCACAUCUCCCAGGUAACAAAAGCACAUGCACUGUCCCUGAAUAGUCCGAGCCAGGCUACGUUCCAAAUGUAUUUUGCAGCUUUGUUACCAAAACGACUUUGUUUGCAGCACGAGUAGGAAAACACUUGAAAGAAACAUCCUGUCAGCAGCAGGUGUGUUUGUCACCACCACAUUCACACAUGAGCAGCUAAGCUGGCAGUUUGGUACAAACUCCCAACCCAUAAGCAAAGAGAAUUUUGAUUGCAGGGAUGUGGGAAUUUAUAUUUACACACACACACACACACACACACACACACUGAAGUAGCCCUACAGUUAAAAGCAUGGCCUUGAAGCUCUCCUAAGGUUUGCUUCUGAAAAAUUAUUUCAGCUUAGAUACCCUAAGAAGAGGCAGUGCUGUAACUCAUACGUAGUUCUGACAGGAUAUAGAGAGCUACAGAAAAGCCACACUGUGGCCACAUGCACAUAAACAAAACUAUUAGAAAUGUGAGGAUUUUACCGUAAGCAUUGGCACAAUGUAACGCCAGUUCUUAUUCAGGCUUCCAACGUGGCUCAUCUCCUCUUCUGUGAGGCUGAAAUCAAAGACCUAAGAACAAAAUAAAGAGGUUUAGUUCAGUAACCAUAACUUUUCAUAUUGAAUUCUGUUGAAUUCUGCCUCUUGGUUUUGUUUCCUUUAGAAGCCACAAACAUCUCCUUGGGUCAUGAAUUUCUGCAGAGUGAAAUCCCACUCCUCAGCAAUCCAGGACAGAACGUACCAGCAGCAGUGACCCUACACAUUGAGCUGUUUCAGCAUUUAAUUUCAGGUGACAGUAAAAAACCACAGAGGCAACAGGCACGCAAUUAAUUAAGCUGUAGUUGUAUAGUAUUUCUUUUUUUAUUUUCAAAAAAUAAAACCUAUUGCAAGAUCCUAGCAUUAAGACCCAAUAAAAGUAUUUUGUGGAUACUCUUCCACAAAAAUGAAGAACCGUGGGACUGCUCUUCCAAAUGCUCCCUCUUGGUUCUGUUCCCACACACAUCUAAACCUUGACCAACUACAGCAUGCAAUGGAGUUUUUGCAGUUUCCAGCAGCAUACAUCUCAGGCUUUGGUUUAAUGGGAGUAACAGCUGCAGAAACAAACCCUUGCUUAAGAACAAGCAUGCAACCUGCCAGUCUGUCUGAUUAAGGGCUGAAAAAAAAUCACAGGAGGUGAUUCAGAGACCCACCCAAUUAUUGCAAGUCAGUGUUCAAAUAAUGUCUGUACACACACACACACACACACACACACACACACACACACACACAGUUGCUUGAAACUUCUGGUUUCCUCACAUCUUUAACUUCCCUCCUGUGCACACGCACUUUGACAGGCAUGAAGCACGUGCUUCAGACUGUUGUUAUUCAAGUAGCAGGACAGCGUGUUACUCACAUGAAAGGACACUGCUGAAACUCCCCAUCUCCAUCUGAGCUUACCUGGAGGUUCUGCAGAAUGCGAGCAGGAGUGACACUCUUGGGAAUAGUGACCACUUUGCGCUGCGCCUGCCAUCUGUUGGGAGGGGAGAGAGAUUUUCUAUGCAUGCUGCCCAAGAACCCUGACAUUUAUUUUGGUUCAACAAUUAUCAGUGGCAGCAGAGAUGUCAUUUAUGGUUUCUGCAAACAAAAUACCCCGAAGAAGACCACCACAGCACUGUAUUGUAUUAGAAGGGCAACUUGCUGCUGCCCAAGAUUGUGCUAGAUAUAAAGCCAAACAAAAGAAUGAGGACAGAAACGCAAUGCUACUUCACAAAGUGCUCAUCACAUUCUGGGUAUCACUCGACCACCUUGUUUCCCAGUACAGCUUCUGCUACUUAACCACAAAGCAGCAAACAGUUCUUCACUGUGAAGGAAGGGAAGUCCCUUCCACAAUCUCUCUUAGAGCUCUUUUAAAUGCAGUAGCAGGGGCUGUAAGGUUCAAGCAACUGGCCACGUGCACAUCUAAAACAAGCAGCAGCUGGGUUUGCUUUUGGCACUUUGUGAUUCUAACUCCCCACUUCACGGGGGAAAAAACACAUAUCCUAAAGUAGAUGCCUUCGAGCUUUUGUAUUCUGCUUUAUCUAAGGCCAGGUCCCAGAGCUGUACCUGAGGAGGAUCUGUGCAGGUGACUUCUUGUAUUUUUCUGCCAGUUUUUUGAUCCCAGGUUCCUCUAGAAGCACAGGCUCAUCUGGGUGUUUCCACAUGCGAUCAGGAGAACCGAGGGGACUGUAGGCAGUAACAACCAGUCCUCGUUUCUGGCAGUGAGCUAUCAGCUCGUUCUGAGCUAGGUAAGGGUGGCAUUCUACCUAUUAAAAUGACCCACAAAGAAUGGCCAAAGGAAAAUGAUCAGUACAAAGCUCUAAAUAAACAGGAGGUGAAAAGCUCAGCAGAAUCAAGCACAUCACAAGAGGUCAUUGCAGGUUCUGGAAAACCUCAUGAAGCUAUAACUACAAGGAAAAUGAAAGAUGGCAUGGUAGCGUAAGAUCAUAGUAAAAGGAAAAGAGAUUGUUUAACCUUAGAGUGCUGGAUUUAUCUCCAUGUAUCCAACAAAUCAUCCAACAAGCAAGGGAGCUCUCUAUAGGAGGGAUUUAAGUUAGUCCCUCAAUCUUUUUUUGUUCCUGUAGACUAAACCCAUCCUCACAGGGAAGAAAGAAACUCUUCUGCUGAAGAGUUGUCAACUAAGUAGGUGUAAAUGGCCACAAACAUGGAUACAGGCCUUUUUUCCAUUUAAUUCACCUAUCUGGAAGGGCCCUCUGUGUGCCUAUUCCUGCAUGCAUGAAUAUACUCCUCCCUGUACAUCAGAAGCUGCACUCCUUGUGCUAAACAGGCAGCAUUGGUUUUCUUCACUCCCAUGGAAAACCAGGAAGGUAUACCUCCUCCUCCUCUCCUUUGUUCAUCUUACCUGGAGCACAGCUGGUUUGACAGUAGCCACACUUAAUACAUCAUCAAUCUGACGACUAUUGAAGUUUGACAGCCCAAUGGCUUUCGCAAGACCUUUUUCUACCAGCUUCUCCAUAGCCUUCCAGGUAUCCUUGUAGUCAGUGUAAUCAUAACGCAUCGUGCCAUCAGGGUUCUUUGGGAAGAGAUUGUCCCCUCGUCUGCAGCAUGAAAGGCACAGUGUAAAUACACACAGCACGUGAUUUCUGUUGUAUUAGAUCUUCACUAAGAGAAACUUUAUUGUAAGUACUCUUAAGAAUACCUGAGCUUAUGCAUAGUUUGGAAGCUGGAGUACAAACUGAGCAAAUUUCCCUCUUGAAUUCCCUGAUGAAGACUUAGCCUACAAGCAAUUAUUUUACACACAGUCUUUCCUAUGUAAACUUGCAAUCUAGUACUUGAAACCUCUUACCUAUAGCACACUGCUUGCCUAUAGCGACUACACAAAAACCAUCAGCCACUGCAUAUGUAAUAAUAGCAACAAUAGCAAUAAUAGCUGCAACCCGGAAAGUAGCUUGGUUGUUCAGUUUGUUUUUGAGGGGGGACUGAUAGUCUGUUUGGAGCUGUUGCCAAAGGGGCCUUGGUUUAAGAGCUACGUAGCAGAGACUGAGUGCAAAGUAGUCUGGUUUUCCCGUUCUCUUUGGAUUCUGCAGCAUGGUUAGCACUGGGUGCAAGCUCUGGUUUUCAGAGAAGUCUAAACAUGUACAUGUUGCUUGUAGGAUGGGUGUGUUUCCAGUUAGUCAUACCAACUCAAUAAAAUAAAAGACAAACCAACUAAGCACCCAAAGCCACACGCAGGAAGAAGCUGGUUAUGGCAGGUGACACCGGCACACCAACUGAGGGCUGUGAGCAGUCUCUGAGCAGCUCAUGCUCGGAGAGGUGCCAGUGAUUCCUCUGGAAUCCAGAGUGCUGCCUCAUGGCCACUGCAGAACACUGCUAGCCCAGAUCCCAGAGACUGUCUUACAUUGCUCUAGCUAAGCAGUGAACGUGCUGUGAGGUAACAGCAGCUAGGAACACCAUGCUUGUGCACCUCAUUUUUGUUUGUACAUCUAUCCAUCUGAUCAUCAUAUGAACUCUCAGCCUUGAAAAGCAGCCUCCUAUCAAGAGUAGAAAAUGCAUCUCUCACUUAAUAUAUAAGACCUAGGGUACUGUGAUUCUCAUCUGGAAGUCCGUUUUAAUUUCCAUUAAAGUAACAUAUCUUCUGCACAGACUCCCAGUACAGCAGGCACUGUAGGUAAUCAGGCACUAAAACAGUAGAAGUAGAGCUAAUAGAAAACUGAGAGUGAACUUUUACCAAUGAGAAACGGUGAAGAACUCAACAUCAGUUUUGCCAACAUUUGCCACAACAGCAGCAGUUUAAAUCAUAUUACCUAAAUAGACAUUAUUAUUUGUGUUCCGUGUUAUUAUCAAAGCAAUGUUGAAAUGGUUUUGUCCAAACAGCUGUAAAACAAACCUAUUUCAAAAUAGGGGGAAUUUUUAACAGCAGUUCUUCCUCCAGACCAGCCCUGCUUGAAAACACUUCCUCAUUCUGCUGUGAUGAGGGACACAUUUAGAACUGGAGUGUCUUUCAUGAAUGCUUGGAAAAAUUCAGUUCAUAUAACUAGAAGGGGAAAAAUGUUUUAAGUGUGCAGAAUAGGCUGAAGCCCUCUGAGUCUGACAGGGUUUCUCCUGGUCAGAGAAGUGUCCAUGCAAACAGCUGGGCAGGAGAUUUUUUUUCUCUUCUUUUUACUGAUGGUUGAAAUAGGGGAAAAAAAAACCAAAACCAACACGGUAUCCAUGACUGCAGGAAAACAAAGCAAUGACCACUGCUGCUGGCAGGAUUGUAAGAUACCCAGAACUAGCAUUUAAUUUCCCCUAUUUCCUCAGAUCUUACAAUGACUGCAAUUCAAGUGACAUAAGAGGCCAUUUUCAUUUCCUUCUCAUGCAGACACCACCAUGACGCUGCAUGUGCUCAGUUCCAGUACAGUCAGUAACCAUCAGUGAAAAGUGCUGCCUUCUUUACAAAGUGCUUCGUUUUCAUCUCAAAGAUAAGUACAACAAAUUCCCAGCCAACUCAGAGAAUAAAGAAUAAUGAAAUAGGAACAGUAGUUUCUGUGAAUGGAUGUAUCAAAUAUGAAUGAAUGUACUGGUUUCAGGUAGAAAGGGGUCUGUAGCAGUCUGUUGGACUACCCUAUAAACCACCCAUAAAAGCAUCCUGCAGGCAGCUUACACUGGAUGGAAGACACAGCUCAAAAAGAAGCUCCUUAGGACAUAACACCGACCACUUAUGUAAAACUGGGGCUUCUGCAUCCCACGUUCCUUUCCAGGCUGAACUUACUCAAAGGCAUGGGGCCAGUGCAUGAGGUACAGAUCCAGGUAAUCCAGUUUCAAAUCCGCAAGUGUUUUCCUUAGUGCUGGCUCAACAUCUUCCGGGUGGUGCUUGGUAUUCCACAGCUUUGAUGUUACAAACAGGUCCUCCCUUUUAAUAACCUUUAAGAAAGGAAGGAGAGCUUCAUUUACCGGAGAGAGCUGAGGAAGAACUGCAGCAAUCCCCCAAAUAUCUUAAGAACAAAAGGAAAUCAUUUAAGUUGAACAACAAAUAAGUUAACAAGUGAGACGUACAAAUGAAACCUUUCAGAAACGUGCUAGAUGGAGAACAAGAGAAAUACACACAGAUGUGAGCCCACCCUAAUAUACACCACACACGUAGCAGUUCCCUAGAAGUUCUGAAACAACAAAACAACCCCCCCACGCUUCCCCACACAAAUUCCACAGUUAAAGCCACUACUCAGCCUAAACCAAAGAUUACUUGGUUUAUUCAUGUGUACAUCUUGCAGUUUCUUCCAGUUUCUUCCCAGGCACAACCAGCUAACUUGCUACGUUCGUCACAUGUUAUAAACCAAGACUGUUUCUCAUAGAAAGGACGUGGGAAAAUAAACAAGCAGUUUCCCCAAACCUCUGCACUUGAAUUUUGAAGCUCUGGGAGGAAUGCUCCAAGAACUGAAGGUCAUGUAUUGGAAGGAUAAGGCCCACAAAUGGAAUCAAAUAGAAUUGUGGGUAUUUAGGAAGUAUUAAACGUGAAAUGGAGGUCAUGUUUGACACACUGAAGCCAUUGGAAGGCAUCUCUUAUUGAUCUUUGCAGUACCAAAUUACACUCAAGUCUACAGUUUAUAGGAAUGAUUAAUUCCUUCAUUUCUCUCUCCCAGCCAUUCACUUGUUUGUGGGUCACAUAUCAGCUGUUGUGUUCAACGAGCCAACAUUCUCGUUAAUUCUUAAGUUCGUUAGCUAAUACAGAGUAGAAAUAGUCCUACGCUUCUCCACAUUAAUUGCCAGUAUCUAAAGGGUGCAAAGGAAUCCCUGGGGCAAGCUGAAAGCGGCCUCUCCACAGCUAAGCACCUAACAAAGAGAUUGCCCUGCAGCAAAGGGCAGAGGACCAGAGAAGAAACAUGAGAACUUUCAUUCCAGAGGCUCUGAGGCCAUAUGCAUCAUUCUUCUGGCCCCUGGGGCAAACAAGAGCAAAAGGAUGACUUGAAGAUUUCACCCGAGAUAAUGCAUAGGAAUGUCGGUUGCAUUCCAUUACAGCCAUGAAGCUCAGUGCAGGCCACUGCACCGUUACCAAACCUUCAAAUGCAGCUGCUGCUUUAAAAAAUCAGUAGUUACGGAAUUUGCUGCAGCUACCCAGCACUGCACAGCACUCUGAACUGGCAAACUAGAAAAUAUGUGAGAAUUUACUCUAUUAUAACUAUUGAUUCUGGCAACCUUUGUUUUUCAAACGCGUCAGUGGGGUUAUUGGAUGGGGAGGUGUUUAUCUGGGAAUUCCAAAAAGGCAUUUUCUCUAAGCUUCCAUGCUGUUAUUCCAGAUGAUCAUUCCCCCUCCUGACAGCCAGGAUGAUUCCAGAGGACAGAAUGCCCUCUUUCAUGCCUGCCCUGUUAAUAACAAGCAGCUGGGACAGACCAGAAGGAAAAGCCACAGACAUUAACUUCGCACUCUGCUCUUUCAGGUCACAUCUGUAAAUUUUGAUACAACAUACAGUCAUGGGGUUCUUGUGUUUUUACCUUGUUGGGCCCAACGCAUUCCUGGAAAGCAUCACCGAUCUCUGCUUCGUUGCUGUAAGCUGCUGCACAAUCAACGUGGCGAUAACCCACACUUAGGGCGUAUUUCACUGCUUCUUUCACCUGGAAUCACAAGCAGAUUACCAAAUGCAACCAGUGGAAAGGAGCACAACUGAAAAAAAUUGCUAAGGACUUCAUGAGGAACACUGCCACAGUACAGAGCUACAGAAGCUCGUGAGAUCCCAGCAUAGUAGGUAAGAGUGCCCUAUGGCACAGCCUUGGUGAGCAGAGUGCCAAGUGCUAGCAGGCACUCCAAGAGUAACGUGAAAACAGACCGUGCAUGCAGGCCGAGCACAGGAGAACUCACUGCACAGAAUGGAAAUCCAUUCUUAGCUGUAGUUGCCACACUUUUGUUAAGCAUCAGAGGAGCUGUAAGAAGCGGAUUUCAAAUAAAAAUGUAUCAAGACAGUGUCGGUGGGACUAACCAGCCAAUCAGUCAAUGUUAGCCAAGCUGGAAAGGUACGACCUCUCCCCGAAUAAAAGGAAAGCCAGGUUUGUAAUUUCAUAAUUUCCGGAGCUCAGGUUUGGUUCAACUGCUUAACUUCUAAGAUAAGGCCACUUCACGGCACAUUUUUCUCCUGUGUCUCCUUCUCACUGAUUGUGCAACAGCAGUCACUAUACUGGUGGUUAUUAACGCAUGGCCUGCAGGGAUCUCCUCCUGAUGCUCAGUUUCACAUUUUGCUUUACACGCUUCUGAUGAAGAAGGUGCUGCCAACAGCCAGAACGGCUGGAACCGAGGCACCACGCUUUGCUUGUGUUUCUGCUGUUGAAAGCUGUAAUGAAGCACAAGUACAACGUAUAUCGUCACAUGCUGGCAUCAGAUAUGGAGCAAGGCUAGAAACCAGAGGGAACACAGAAUGGCAUCUCUCCAGGAUGCUUAAGUGGCUUUUCAAUAGAGGUUUUCAAGAAAAGUUUUAAAUAACUGAUCGUGUAAGCAUGAAGAAAUUACUCUAGUGUCACCAUCUCCCUUUAAAUAGAGCAUUCAGUAAAAUCCAUCCUAUUUAACUUCCAGUGGUCGGUAUGCACAUAUUCUCUGUUCAGCUCUUAUGUGCUACAGUCAGAGCACACCUCUGUACAGGGAUUUCUAUAUACUGCUCUUCCCAGACCUGUCUCGUGGGACUGAUGGAGAUUAAGUUGCUCUUUGUUUGAUGCUAUAGGGCCCUAAUCUAGUUGGAGACAUUAAAACAUGUCGAGGAGGGCUAGAGCCUGAUGGCUUUCUUUCAGCUCAAGUAGCAGCAUUUUCAAUUUUAAAGCCAACGAAAUGAUUGAAACCAAGGCUCUUGCUUUCAGGUGCUACCAAAAAAAAGGGGAAAUGAAAUGUGAAAGAGCUCUCUCUUCUGCUGGUGAAUUUCAUUUGCUUUUCCUGUCAAGAACUGCAGUAAAAGCAGACACAGGAUAUUCUGACUACAUUCUUUGGCAUUUUGAGAGGAAAAGUGGAACUUAGACUGGUUGCCCUUAGCCAGAAUGACAAAGCACUUCUAUUACAACGGUGAAGUCAGCUGUUCCUCUCUCUAGCAGGAUGGGAUUUACAGUCCUUCUUUCACUUUGACGAGACAUUUCUCAGAAGGUCACUGGGAAGUCGAGGUCACAAGGACUCUGAAAUCACCUGGGACAGACUGAAGGCUUUUAAAGCUGAGCAUCCCCCCUCCACAAAGGCGGAAGUUAAGGGGAAGAAGCACGCUCUGUUUAAUUUUGGGGUGUGCCCACCCCCCCCCUUCUUAUUUUUAAAGGCAUAGCAGAAAGGAAAGGGAAACCAGCAUGGGCUUUUUCUGAACUGUUUCCUCAUUUCCUCUAUCACGUACUGGUUUUUAUUUUAUAAAUCCGAGCGGGAACAAAAUUUGCAUAAAACUUUAUGGCACCUCUUGCAGAAAACCAGGGGUGAGGCACUCCAAGUGCCUCUGGACAGUCAUAAAAGCAGAGGUCAUAUUUCAGUAUCGGUGUUUUCAUAUAUUUCUAGCACUGACAAACUAGGACCAAUCAUUUAACUACAGUUUGGAUCUGGGCACACUUGUGUAAACUUACUCAGACAUUCCUAUCUGAACCAGGAGAGGUCCUGGUCCAUGCAAAAGGCAAAUAAUAAAGAGCAAGAUGUACAAAUAAGAGCUUCAGUGAGGCAAUGAACUCUGAUAGAAGGAUGUGAGUGUAACAAUAGUGCUUUGUUUCAAGAGAAACUUUGAGUAUUCUUGACAUUACGUUCAAGCAGGUACAUGCAUCUCCCGGGGUGGGGAAGACUCAGCAUUAGUUAGAGAUUCAAAUGCCUCAGGAUGUUUUGUGUUGUAUGGUAAUAACAGCCAAGGGAUCCUUGCAGCUUUUCUUUAGUGCAGCCUGUGGAAGGAGCAAUUACUGAAUUAAAUUUUCUUCCACUGGUUGAGUUGAGUCAGACAGCUUAAGUAAGGACAGAUCAUCAGGCCACGUGAUAUUCAGGUGCAGCGUGACCAAAUAGUUUGCUGUAAAGGAAGGAACUCAGACCACCAUAUGAAUGGUAACUUGCAGUUUUGCUUCCCCAAAGCAACGAGUAAUGCCUCCUAUCCUUCAGAUAUUUAAUUCAAGUUCUUCCCUUAGUAUAUCCCAGUAGUAGUGAAUUUGUGCUCCCAUACGCAGGAUUCUCUAGAUGCUCUGGCAAGGUUUUCAGGACCUAAGUAAGCAGUCUCCUCCACAGCUGCAGUGCUGUCACAAGACACCCAGCCUGACUGGUUUUCUGAGAGCCAACCUCUGUCACAGCACCUGAGACCGUUCCAUCCUCCAGGCUGGAAGCGUGGCCCACUUGUGAGAAGAGAAAAAAACAUUAAAGGAUUACAGCUCCAGUGCUAAUAGUCCGUGCCACUGGUAUUCCUGAUGCUCCAGUCUCAAAGGACUUUUGUCUUUGGGCUCAUUCAUGCUACUGCUCAGAAGCUUCUGUACUGUAUUCGCUUCCACUCAAUAGCUCUCCGUCAUGUUCCUAUGGUAACGUCUAAAACAAAUUUCUCUUCUUAGCAUUUCAUCAUGUAAAGCAAAAACCAUAAUGUUAUUCUAAAUUACCACCCCAGCUGGGCUUAGAUUCACAGAAUGGCCUGGGUUUGACUUCACCUCCUAUGAACUGUGAGGUGAUGAUACCUUUGUCCUGCACUGCUGAGAUCUGGCUUCAAGUUGAAGGGUUGUUUAGGAUCUGGAAUAAUAAUGGCAGUGAUAAAGAAAUUAUUCAAGAGUAUAAGGUCAAGACUGAAAAACAGCUUGGCAAGGAAAAUAACUGCAACCUGCAGAAUAUUUACUUGAAAUAAUUUAAAAGCAAACUAAUUCUACUCUCGCUCCUAAUUAAGCCCUUGUACAAAAAGGAUUUUGAUAAGUAGCGUGUAUUUGGGAAGUGGCUGCACUGAAUACAAUCAAUGAUUAUUCUGCCUGU